AGAAAAAGGGAAAUGCAGGGGCUAGAUCAUGAUGUGAGCAGUAAAUGGAGGCAGCACAAAGACUGUGCUUAUCUAUAGCCCACUGCAGGCAGUUAGGAGGAAAAACAGAGGGGACCGACUAAAGGGAGAGUCGUGGUGGAGAAUUACCAAGACAGUGAAGGAUGAUUUAAGGUAUCUGUGAGGAAAAAUAAGUGGCAAUGUUCCCCCAGAGUACUGUAGUAAAAGAGCAGUGGCCACAUUCAUAUUCUGACCAGGAAAUUGAAGAAGAAACAGAAGGGGACUUCAGACAAGUGACAUCCAGUAUACUCAAUUUCCUUCCCUUGGAAUCGCCGCUGCAGGUUAAGCAGAGUCGAGAACCUGUAUUUGUGAAUGUUUGUAACACACGGAUCUGCAGUCUGCCAGUCGGACACCAUAUUGAUGAGAUUAGCUGGUAAUUAAAAAUGCAGCCAAGCCAGGCAGAGGACAAUGACUUAAUUAGUAGAAUGUCACUGGAUAUAAUUUAUUUUGCUUAUCAUAGAUUUAUUCACUAACGAAUUAGAAAGGAAGAACAAGACACCUUCAUUGGGAGAUCCAGAGGCUUAAAGGCUUAAAUUCCUUUACAUCAUAUCCCUGCCCAAUUGUUAAAUUGGAUUGUCAUACAUUAGAAUUAUACUGUGAAUAAAGUAGUAUCAGGGAACCAAUAAAUAUUUUUCACUUGCUAAUACAGAGAGCUAAUGACUUUGAUGUUGAGUUAACCUUGUUAAUAUAUUGCUGUUAUUUAAUAAAAAAUUUUAAGCCAUA